rnacentral:lncRNA from 1 species
CGAGCACAAACACACUGAGCAGGAUGCUGCCAACGCCGCACUUCGAACUGCUGGGCAAACGAAGAACAUGGGUGACACCGUAUCACGAGGUCCAGACGUCAAGGUCCACACCGGAAUCAAAUGACGCACCUAAAGAAUGAACACGGUGAGAAGUCUUGUUCAGAAGACUUAAAACAUCGAACCCUCGCCGGAAGGUAAAAUCGGUAGUUAUCCAUAUUUAUCCUUUCUGCAUUCCCUUUACCCUUGAAUCAUUUACUUUCCUUAAAUGGCUUGUUAGUUAUUCAUGCUAUCUUGAAAAGAAAAUAAAAAUGUUAAAAAUACUAAGCGCCAUGUGAGUAUGCUCGUGGCAUAAAACCCAUAAGUACAUUCACUGUGGUGGCGUAAAAAUAAAAUAAAUAUAUUCCUGUCCU